rnacentral:rRNA from 1 species
AUCUACAGUCAUAUCACCCUGCAUGCGCCCAAUCUCAUCUGAUUUCGGAAGCUAAGCAUGGUUGGGCCUGGUUAGUACUUGGAUGGGAAAGGAGUCCCCCUGUCAGGGAAGAGG